rnacentral:rRNA from 1 species
AGAGUUUGAUCCUGGCUCAGAUUGAACGCUGGCGGCAGGCCUAACACAUGCAAGUCGAACGGUAACAGGAAGCAGCUUGCCGCUUUGCUGACGAGUGGCGGACGGGUGAGUAAUGUCUGGGAAACUGCCUGAUGGAGGGGGAUAACUACUGGAAACGGUAGCUAAUACCGCAUAACGUCGCAAGACCAAAGAGGGGGACCUUCGGGCCUCUUGCCAUCGGAUGUGCCCAGAUGGGAUUAGCUUGUUGGUGGGGUAACGGCUCACCAAGGCGACGAUCCCUAGCUGGUCUGAGAGGAUGACCAGCCACACUGGAACUGAGACACGGUCCAGACUCCUACGGGAGGCAGCAGUGGGGAAUAUUGCACAAUGGGCGCAAGCCUGAUGCAGCCAUGCCGCGUGUAUGAAGAAGGCCUUCGGGUUGUAAAGUACUUUCAGCGGGGAGGAAGGGAGUAAAGUUAAUACCUUUACUCAUUGACGUUACCCGCAGAAGAAGCACCGGCUAACUCCGUGCCAGCAGCCGCGGUAAUACGGAGGGUGCAAGCGUUAAUCGGAAUUACUGGGCGUAAAGCGCACGCAGGCGGUUUGUUAAGUCAGAUGUGAAAUCCCCGGGCUCAACCUGGGAACUGCAUCUGAUACUGGCAAGCUUGAGUCUCGUAGAGGGGGGUAGAAUUCCAGGUGUAGCGGUG